rnacentral:lncRNA from 1 species
GAAAGCAAAGUUGAAAGGGGACUGGAUGACAGAGGUAAAUGAUUAAUAAAGUUAUUUCCUGAAAUGUUAGAGGCAUUAAUAAUCGUUGUAAAAGAUUGAUAAUUAGGGGUUGUUUGAGCAAAUGGAAGCCGGAGGUUGUAUGCUUACAGGAAACCAAGAUAGAAAGUAUUGACGUAGAGGUUAUUAAAAGUGUGUGGGCCGUGAACAAUUUGAAAUGGAGUGUUGUACCUGCA